CUCCACAUUAAAUGGUUUUCGCAUUGGGGAUGGCACUUGCUCCUUCUUUACAUUCUCCCAUUCGUUGUUUUCUUACAUUUUAUGCUAUUUGGAUAAUCGCUGUGAUUCAAGGCGGAUUUAAAAAGGUAUUAAGAUGACAGAUUUUUGUUUGCAUUCUCUUUGUUGUUAUCUUCUUUCUCGCAUAUUCUCUGCUCAUGAACGCACACAAGCACUCAAAUUUCUUUGCGUAUGUUGGCAAAAGUUCAAACAGCUUGAUGUCAAGAUGGUGUCACGUACCCCCAUAGGAGGUCGCUCCACCUUUUCUCUGGAGUGGCAAUUGAUGCUGGCGGGCGCUGGCGGUUGAGCUCCGGCUGUGGCUCAGUGGAUGGGGCGCGGUUCUUUGCCAACAUCUAUUGCCAAAAAGGAGGGACAAAAAACUAAAGUCAACCAGCUUGUGGAUGGACAAAUACAGCGGGUUCCUGGUUCUAAUGGCGACUGUUCCGGAUAAAUGCCAAUGGAGUCCCCGGGUAUUGUGGUCCUGAUGGCAGCCUCUGCGGCCAAUAGGGUCCCUUUUAGGUUCUCGUUUGUCCGUCCGUCCGUCUAGUCUUUGGGGUUUUCUGAUGUGCUGCUUUCUCUGCACCGUAAGGUCAACAUUGGCUGAUGGGCAAGGAAAUAUCCUCUACUAUCCACUACCUAACCUAACUAUGACCUCAUGCUUAGGUUACUGUAUAGAACCCAACCAAAGGAAAAACCUUUUUAAACAAAAUAUAUCUGUCGAGAGUCAACCGUCGGUAUGCCUGUCGGUUUAUGGUCAGAGAAAAAUUUUUGGACUACCUUAUGGACACUGGGGUAUGCGACAGCGUCAAGGUCCCUCGGUGGAGUAGCGACAGGGGUUGUGGAUAUGCCAACUGCAACAGCCGAAGUACUUUAUGUGCGUGGCA